AUGCGAUACUCCUCUUCAGCACAAUGGGCAGGGAAGCAAGGCUGUGUUUCCCAUAAUCCCCCAAUCCAUUCAGCACUCACAUCAUAUCAUGCAAAUUCGCCGGCACAGUUUGAGGACAGGAUCCUGUUCCAGCCCAGCCAUAUGCCUGAGUCGGUUGAAAUCACCAGGUGAAAAACCAGUGCCAAUGUGGAUUGCUGUGUGGACACACGCUCUCAUCCUAUUCAGUUAGUGUAAAACAUUCAGCAUUGGGCCACUCUAAUCAAAAUGUUCCCCAUCACAUGCCAUCACAUCACAUUUCCUGCCUGUACAUGGACUUUUUCGCAAUUGGAGGCUUUUUAUUGUUAUUUCUUUGUUAUUUCUAAGGCUAAGUGAGUGCUUUCUGGUUUCAUCAGUGGCAUCUGUAUUUACUGGAAUCAAUCAAAAGCAUUGGUUUUACUUCUUCCCGCUAAUGCCAAUUGAGGUGGGCUGACAUUUCUUGACUUCGCUCUCUACUGACACAAUUUGUGAAUUUGAGUUCCACUGUGGAAAUGGAAGUUUUGUUGCGCACAUGGAUUUCCAGGUUAAAUGACACUUAGCCGCUGUAUGUUUUCCUAAUUUGUAUUUUUUGUAAAUAAGUGGUACACGACAUGGAAAUAAAGCCGUGUCAAAGAACCGCA